GAUGAAGAACGCAACGAAAUGCGAUAAGUAGUGUGAAUUGCAGAAUUCAGUGAAUCAUCGAAUCUUUGAACGCACAUUGCGCCCCUUGGUAUCCCGAGGGGCAUGCCUGUUCGAGCGUCAUUUCACCACUCAAGCCUGGCUUGGUGUUGGGCGACGUCCUCUUUGGGGACGCGCCUCGAAACGCUCGGCGGCGUGGCACCGGCUUUAAGCGUAGCAGAAUCUUUCGCUUUGGAAGUCGGGGCCCCGUCUGCCGGAAGACCUGCUCGCAAGGUUGACCUCGGAUCAGGCAGGGAUACCCGCUGAACUUAAGCAUAUCAAUAAGCGGAGGA
rnacentral:misc_RNA from 1 species